CAGUUUGAGAACUCGUGCGAGGUCGGGGUGUUCGCGAGGCUCACCAACGCCUACUGCCUCGUCCCGGCCGGUGGGGCGGAGAAUUUCACCAGUGUGUUUGAGGCCGAGCUCGCCGACACCGUCCCGGUGGUCAAGGCAUCCAUCGGCGGCAUGAGGAUCCUCAGGACAUUGUGCGUGGGCAACAAGAAGGGCCUUCUUCUACCACACACCACUAACGACCAAGAGCUCCAGCACCUCAAGAAUAGCCUGCCUGAUGAGGUGGUCGUCCAGCGUGUCGACGAGCGGCUCUCCGCCCUCGGCAACUGCAUUGCCUGCAACGACCACGUGGCUCUCACAAAACCAGAUCUCACCAAGGAAACCGAGGAGAUCAUCUCGGACGUUCUUGGGGUGGAGGUGUUCAGGCAGACCAUCGCAGGGAGCAUCCUGGUCGGCAGCUCCUGCGCCUUCUCCAACAAAGGGGGACUUGUUCACCCGCAGACGUCGGUGGAGGACCUGGACGAGCUGUCGACGCUGCUGCAGGUGCCCCUCGUCGCCGGCACCGUCAACCGGGGGAGCGAUGGCAUCGCGGCCGGCAUGGUGGUCAACGACUGGGCGGCCUUCUGCGGUUCCGACACCACGGCCACCGAGCUCUCAGUGGUGGAGAGCGUCUUCAGGCUGAGGGACGCCCGGCCGGGGGCAUUGGGCGCCGACGUCAGGAAAUCCUUGGUUGAAAGCUGCUUUCUUCAGGGGAAUUUUGCCUUCCCUUGCUGUAUCUGUGUUUGUCAUGAAAUAUUCUCAACUAGUACUCCCUCCGUAAACAAACAAGUAAUGUAA
rnacentral:rRNA from 1 species